UACGAAGGGGGCUAGCGUUGCUCGGAAUCACUGGGCGUAAAGCGCACGUAGGCGGGUCCUUAAGUCAGGGGUGAAAUCCCGGAGCUCAACUCCGGAACUGCCUUUGAUACUGGGGAUCUUGAGCCCGGAAGAGGUGAGUGGAACUCCGAGUGUAGAGGUGAAAUUCGUAGAUAUUCGGAAGAACACCAGUGGCGAAGGCGGCUCACUGGUCCGGUACUGACGCUGAGGUGCGAAAGCGUGGGGAGCAAACAGG
rnacentral:rRNA from 1 species